CCUCCCCUUAUAAAACAAAACAAAAUAAAUUAGCAAGAUUGCAAAUCUGGUCUGACAUAUAGAUUCCAUAUUUUUGUAGCACUCUUUAUGUGAAUAAUGAAAUUCAUUCAACCUUUCAACUCAUGUGUAUGUUAGGGUAAAAACAUUUUUACUAAUGUUUCUACAAUAAAUACACGUUCAUUUUCCAAAUCAUCAAAUAUUUGAAUUGGCCUCCUCCCAUUAUAAGAAUGACACAUACAUCACUUGUGUGC
rnacentral:lncRNA from 1 species